UAAUUAGGGUUUUCUUGCCGGAACCUGGUGGCCCAUAGAACAAUAAAUGUGGGCAAUCUUGCUCGAGAGUACCAAUUUCUUGAGAUUUAGAGCGAUAUCUUGAUGAACAAGAACCUUGUCUAGGGUUUUUGGUCUGUACUUGUCUACCCAAAGCAUGAUUCAAGACGGUGGGUGUGAAUUGAAUUGGUAUGGUGAACAGAACUGGCGGGAAGGGAUCCCAAGAAGCGAGCAUCUACUGCAUUGGGGAUGUUCUU
rnacentral:lncRNA from 1 species